rnacentral:rRNA from 1 species
CAGCAGCCGCGGGAAUACGUAGGGUGCAAGCGUUAAUCGGAAUUACUGGGCGUAAAGCGUGCGCAGGCGGUUAUAUAAGACAGUCGUGAAAUCCCCGGGCUCAACCUGGGAACUGCGAUUGUGACUGUAUGGCUAGAGUGUGUCAGAGGGGGGUAGAAUUCCACGUGUAGCAGUGAAAUGCGUAGAUAUGUGGAGGAAUACCGAUGGCGAAGGCAGCCCCCUGGGAUAACACUGACGCUCAUGCACGAAAGCGUGGGGAGCAAACAGGAUUAGAUACCCGCGUAGUCCCUGUCUCUUAUAC